rnacentral:lncRNA from 1 species
AUGUGGAGGGUUUUUUUAUGCAUUACAGGAUGUUUUGUAGCAUCUCUGGCCUCUACCCACUUAAUUCUAUUAGCAGACCUCAUUUCCAGUUGUGACAACAAAAAAACGUCUUCAGAUGUGGCCAAAUGUACCCUGGGGAGGGGGUGCAAAGUUGCCCCAGUUGAGAACAACUGCCUCAAGAGAAGAAAUGACGCAGUGAACAGAUCCCAAGAAAGACCUGAAUUCCAGAAAGGAGAGCUGGUUCUGAGGCGUGGAGGUAGCUGCUGUCGGCACUCACCCUAUUCCAUCCACUCCGUUGGCUUGUGUAAAUCCUGGAAGAUUCACUCUAUAAGAAUCUUGUAUUUGAAACCUAAUGUUGACACAGAGAAGAAUAAAAAUAAGAAUUGAUGAUUUUGAUAUGGUAAGUAAGACAGGCAGAUUUGUAUUCAUUUUUUUAAGUUUCAAUUCUGGUUGUAAUAUUUACUACCUGUGUGACAUUGGGCAGUUUUCUUCUCUGAAAAAUCAAGAUAAAAAUAAUAUAUGCAUAAAAAUUAUGUAGAUACAUAUAUGUAUACAAAUAUGUUUAUGUAUAUAUAUUAUAGGGUUGUUAGUAACAACACAGAAGUUAAAGCAUGUUUUAUAUAGUAGACGUAAUAAAAGAUGAUGAUGAUGAUGCA